UUCUAUGAUGAAGCGGCACUGGGCUCCGAAUACCCAUGAGCAGACAUGCCACUUUGCGACAGGCCUAGAAAACCUCGUCCACUGAUC
rnacentral:snoRNA from 1 species